rnacentral:rRNA from 1 species
UGUCUAAGUAUAAGCAACUUGUACUGUGAAACUGCGAAUGGCUCAUUAAAUCAGUUAUCGUUUAUUUGAUAGUACCUUACUACAUGGAUACCUGUGGUAAUUCUAGAGCUAAUACAUGCUAAAAACCCCGACUUCAGGAAGGGGUGUAUUUAUUAGAUAAAAAACCAACGCCCUUCGGGGCUCCUUGGUGAAUCAUAAUAACUUAACGAAUCGCAUGGCCUUGCGCCGGCGAUGGUUCAUUCAAAUUUCUGCCCUAUCAACUUUCGAUGGUAGGAUAGUGGCCUACCAUGGUGGCAACGGGUAACGGGGAAUUAGGGUUCGAUUCCGGAGAGGGAGCCUGAGAAACGGCUACCACAUCCAAGGAAGGCAGCAGGCGCGCAAAUUACCCAAUCCCGAUACGGGGAGGUAGUGACAAUAAAUACUGAUACGGGGCUCUUUUGGGUCUCGUAAUUGGAAUGAGAACAAUUUAAAUCCCUUAACGAGGAACAAUUGGAGGGCAAGUCUGGUGCCAGCAGCCGCGGUAAUUCCAGCUCCAAUAGCGUAUAUUAAAGUUGUUGCAGUUAAAAAGCUCGUAGUUGAACCUUGGGUCUGGCUGGCCGGUCCGCCUCACCGCGAGUACUGGUCCGGCUGGACCUUUCCUUCUGGGGAACCUCAUGGCCUUCACUGGCUGUGGGGGGAACCAGGACUUUUACUGUGAAAAAAUUAGAGUGUUCAAAGCAGGCCUUUGCUCGAAUACAUUAGCAUGGAAUAAUAGAAUAGGACGUGUGGUUCUAUUUUGUUGGUUUCUAGGACCGCCGUAAUGAUUAAUAGGGAUAGUCGGGGGCGUCAGUAUUCAGCUGUCAGAGGUGAAAUUCUUGGAUUUGCUGAAGACUAACUACUGCGAAAGCAUUCGCCAAGGAUGUUUUCAUU